AUACGAAGGGGGCUAGCGUUGUUCGGAAUCACAGGGCGUAAAGCGCGCGUAGGUGGAUCAAUUAGUUGAGGGUGAAAUCCCGGGGCUCAACCUCGGAACUGCCUUCAAUACUGUUGAUCUUGAGACCGAGAGAGGUGAGUGGAAUUCCUAGUGUAGAGGUGAAAUUCGUAGAUAUUAGGAAGAACACCAGUGGCGAAGGCGGCUCACUGGCUCGGUACUGACGCUGAGGUGCGAAAGCGUGGGGAGCAAACAGGAUUAGAAACCCUUGUAGUCC
rnacentral:rRNA from 1 species